GUAGAUGUAGUUUAAACAAAACGCUAAACUGUGAAUUUAGAUAUAGGAGCUUGAGACCCCUUAUCUACC
rnacentral:tRNA from 2 species